UCCGAGGUCGUCUAAAGGUAGGACAGCAGCCUUUGAAGCUGUUUAUCUUGGUUCGAUUCCAAGCCUCGGAACCA
rnacentral:tRNA from 1 species